rnacentral:tRNA from 1 species
GCGGGCAUAGUUUAGCGGUAAAACUUUAGCCUUCCAAGCUAGCGUCGUCGGUUCGAUUCCGUCUGCCCGCA